rnacentral:rRNA from 1 species
UACGUAGGGUGCGAGCGUUAAUCGGAAUUACUGGGCGUAAAGCGUGCGCAGGCGGUUCGUUGUGUCGGCGGUGAAAGCUCCCGGCUUACCUGGGAGAGGGCCGUGAAGACGGGUUGGCUUGGAGGCUCGGAGAGGGACGUGGAAUUCCGGGUGGAGCGGGUGAAAUGCGUAGAGAUCCGGAAGAACACCGACGGCGAAGGCAGCGUCCUGGCCGAGGCCUGACGCUCAGGCACGAAAGCGCGGGGAGCGACAGG